CCCAGCUGUAGAAAUGGCCUAGGUUGCCUUGUACCUAGGCAAGUGUUACAUAGCUGGGAGAAAAACAUCCAGUAGCUGGUGGGCAUCCUGGACCUGCAUAGU
rnacentral:snoRNA from 1 species